rnacentral:rRNA from 1 species
GAUGAACGCUGGCGGCGUGCCUAAUACAUGCAAGUCGAGCGAACAGACGAGGAGCUUGCUCCGUUGACGUUAGCGGCGGACGGGAGAGUAACACGUGGAUAACCUACCUAUAAGACUGGGAUAACUUCGGGAAACCGGAGCUAAUACCGGAGAAUAUAUUGAACCGCAUGGUUCAAUAGUGAAAGACGGUUUUGCUGUCACUUAUAGAUGGAUCCGCGCCGCAUUAGCUAGUUGGUAAGGUAACGGCUUACCAAGGCAACGAUGCGUAGCCGAGCUGAGAGGGUGAUCGGCCGCAUGGGAAGUGGGACACGGACCAGAGUCCUACGGGAGGCAGCAGUAGGGAAUCUUACGCAAUGGGCGAAAGCCUGACGGAGCAACGCCGCGUGAGUGAUGAAGGUCUUCGGAUCGUAAAACUCUGUUAUUAGGGAAGAACAACUGUGUAAGUAAAUGUGCACGUAUUGACGGUACCUAAUCAGGAAGCCACGGCUAACUACGUG